UCUCUCUCUCUCUCUCUCUCUCUCUCUCUCUCUCUCUCUCUCUCCCUCCAAGUCUGGCACUGAACAACGAACUGUUUUGCCUUGCUCCCGGGAAGAGUGCAGACACAUUACGUGAAAUCCAGAGCGUUUUGCGUGGUGCAUUUAAAACGCUUCACUCACCUCUCCCAUCCCCUCACCAGUCUUUCCAAAUUUCCCUAGAAAUCUGUGUAAGGAUUGCGGAUGGGAAAACAUUUGCAAAAAAAAAAAGUGAGGAGCCUUUUGCCAAAGGAAAGAGGCUGAGUACUUUGCUUUGCUCAGCCACAAAGAUCAGAGGAUUCAGGACUAGAGGGGACCUUCAAGUCCACACCCCUCAUUUCACAGAUGACGAAUGAAGGAAAGUGACUUACACAUUACACAGGUCCCCGUUACUCCUUUUGCUGUUAUGCCACGUGGAGCUCCAAGGAAGCAAAAAUGGGGGAAUAGCAGAAGUUCUGGGGACAGUACUGACAUGACAGGAGAACAAGAUGAUGAAACUAAGGCUCCAAGAUGAUAAGUGACUUUUCCUAAGGCCACAACAGCUAAAGCUUCCUGCUGAAGAAAGAACCCUGAAAGAAAGUCUACAUAUGUACUUCAAGACUUCCAGGGAGUUUUCCUCCAAGAUUAAUAGAACUAUGAUGGCUUUAAUUGGUUGUUUAAUAUUUUAAUUUUCAAUUCAUACUUUCUUAUCUGAAAACCCUUUAUUCAUUUUGAGGAAAAUUAUCCCUACCGGCCAUGAUUAAAAAAAAAUUCAUUACAUUGAGUGAAGAAAUGGUCAGCCUUCAUAUUCCUUAGUAUCCUAGUUUAUUUCAUAAAAAAUUGUCUAAGGUAGUG